AUACCUUUCUCUGUCUUUUGACUAAGAUCAAGUGUAGUAUUUGUUCUUAUCAGUUUAAUAUCUGAUAUAUAGACCAUUGGUCUAUUCGAUAUUAAUCUUAUUUUUUAUAGAGAAAAAUCCAUCAUAAUAGCUUGCUAUUGAAGUCUUUGUGUGUCGCUUAGGUUUUGCACUACUACUUUGGCUGGCGCACCCCUC